AAAUGAGUUCGUCUUCUCGUGAUCUACUUCAGAUCAGCAUGUUAAAAGCUCAAAUUGAGUCUCCUUUCAAAAAAUAAAAAAGCAUGAAUUCAGUCAAAGGCGAGGAUCCAGUCUUCUUUCUACACCUUCAUCACACUCCUACAUAUAGUCAGAUGGUUUAAACAACAUUCUUUUCUGUACCAGAAAUCAAUGUAACCAAUCUGCAGCCCCCCUUUGUGGAUGAUGUUGUUUCAUGUUUUGAUAAAGGUAACAAAAUGUGAAAGCCAAAUAGAAGCCAGCUGGACAGCACUGGAGGCUUGGAAAAGUGGCAAUAAAGUUACCUAAAAAUAAAACGGAUGUUUUUAUUAAAUAAAUAGGAUU
rnacentral:lncRNA from 1 species